CAAUGAGUAUUUGGAGUUUGUAAGCACACUUUCAAGAUCCUUUAAGGGUGAAGGCAAAGGUGCUUUAGGCAUAUAUACGAAGAGAGAUCCCUGAAACCGUAGGGCGAUAGAUGAGUCGGGUAAGGUGGCUCUUGGCACUCCUCGGGGACUGAGACACGAGAGUUGCCAAAGCUUCUCAGAUCCUAUCACCCCCACCUUGAGCUGCCUGGAUGAUGAAAUACUCUGAAGAGUCUGAAUUGCUUUUACUGUUUCAGGUGUACGAUGUAGUGAUUCAGCAAUACUGUACAUGACCCAGUGCUCAUCAUGUGUGGUAGCAAUGAUGUCCUGUGACACCUGAGCAUGGCCUUAAGAGAGUGCAGAGCUCCAUCUCCAGUUUCUUAGGAGCCAGCUGCUAGACCACAAAUGACGGUGAACCACAUGGAGAAGAAAGGUCUGAAUGAGAACCCAUCUUGGAUGUCCCGGCCCUGGGAAGCUCCCAGCCAAGUGCAGCUACUUGACUAUCCUUGGCUACUUCACAUGGAACAGAAAACUGCCCAACCUGGGGGAGGAAUAAUAAAUCCUCGUUAUUUUAAACCACUACACAUUGGAGUAAUUUGUUACAUGGCAAUUGAAAGAACCCCAUUUCCUCCACCUUAUCUUUUCUUCACCACGAAAGAUUACUCCAUAACUCACAGGUGUCAAUGUCCAUUGGCUUAUGGCAUUUAAGUGUGCUCAUACCUUUGUGAUUAGGGAUGACUAACUACCUAAGGCAAAGGGCAGUAAUGUAUGUGGCUUCCUUCAUUCAGUGUGAGCAUCUAUCCCCCAGGAACAGUCUAAAGACCCAGAGACAAAUAAGACACA